GAUGAAGAACGUAGCGAAAUGCGAUAAGUAAUGUGAAUUGCAGAAUUCCGUGAAUCAUCGAAUCUUUGAACGCACAUUGCGCCCCCUGGUAUUCCGGGGGGCAUGUCUGUCCGAGCGUCAUUGCAACCCUCAAGCGCGGCUUGUGUGUUGGGCUUCGUCCCCCCGUGGACGUGCCCGAAAGGCAGUGGCGGCGUCCCGAAUGGUGCCCGAGCGUAUGGGAACUCUCUUCCGCUCGAACCGGCCCAUUCGGCGCUGGUCGAACCCCAAUUUUUUUUUACCGGUUGACCUCGGAUCAGGUAGGGAUACCCGCUGAACUUAAGCAUAUCAAUAAGCGGAGGA
rnacentral:misc_RNA from 1 species